UCCUUUUCAGAUUUGAAUUGCAGAACAUAAUCAUAGAAUUUUGUAAUAUAUCUAGGCUUGGGAUGUGUGUUGCUGACCCUCCAUUUAGCUUAUUUGCCUGAACCAGGGAACUAGCUGUCUUUCAGGUUCUUUGAGCCUGUACUUUCAGGAAUCUGCACCUUCCUGGGAUGAAUAUUGAAAGGCCAGAGAGCAUCACUGAAGACUGCAAAAGAGGGAAUGAGGAGUGGUAUCCUAUAUAAGGAAGACAUCUAGAGAACAUAGAGGGAAACAGAGGCAAAAGUCCCAGGGAUCUGCUUUUCCAGAAGUCUCUGCCUUCAACCAAGCACAUAUGAAGGUUUUUAAGUGCUUGGUAGUUUUUGAAUCAGCCUCCACCAAUGUAAUAACUGAAUUAUUACAUUUUAAUGUUUGAACACCCACGAUAAGAGGAUUUCAAACCUCAAUGUGCACAUUUGUUUGUUUACUUAUAUCUUUAAUGUUCAAAGAUUUCACAUCUUUUUCAUGACUUUAUUAGUUGUUUUACAAUGAAUGGAUGUGAUGGUUUCCUUUCAAUGGGUAUUUUCCAUGCUCAAGAAUGUAGGUUGCCAUUUAGUAGCAAUAUAGUUUUGUGCUUUAUUAAUAGAGUAGAAUGAGGACACUAUUGUUUUGCUUUAUUUGGGGCUAUUACCUUUAUUUAAAUUAAUGAUUAAAGAGUAUGUGAGCAAUUAAUUGUAAUUUGCGUGCAAUCAUCAGGACAGUUUUCAAAACAAAUGAUUUUCAGGUUCCACAAUAUAUUGACUGACACUAUUUGAUGUGGAACUAUGUGUAACUCUUUCUUGACAAAUGCAGAGAUUAGGAGAAGUGGGACAGAAAUUAACAGCUAAACAAAUUUUAUAAAACAGAUGUCUAAUAACAACAGAAACACCAUUUGCUAUUCAAAUAACUAAACAUUCAGGACAAAUGCUUUUGUCCACUACUCACUUAUUUGUUGUUGUAUCUUUUGCUUCAAAGGCAUCACUUUGAAUCUGAGUCACUGAUUUCCGUGUGUGCAACAAUAGAGGACACAGCUAAUUUGAAAACUCAGCAAGAUAUUCCUGAGAAUAGUCUGAAAAGUGGUGCGGAUGACUUACCAAUUGCUUCCGAACAAUAUGAAAAUGUAGAAGAACAAGAAGAAGAACUAGAAUUAGAAACAAUACCGGAUUUAAAACUGGAAAAUGAAAAUGCUUAUAAUAAGAAUGAAGACUAUAAAAAGUUGAAAGCUGCCCAGUCAUCCAACAUAGGAAAUGGUCCAGAAGAAAAUGAAAUAAUUCAAGUUUGGGCUGAAAAAUGUCCGCAUCCAGAG